rnacentral:rRNA from 1 species
UACGUAGGGUGCGAGCGUUAAUCGGAAUUAUUGGGCGUAAAGAGCUCGUAGGCGGUGUGUCGCGUCGGCCGUGAAAACCUGCAGCUUAACUGUGGGCUUGCGGUCGAUACGGGCAUCACUGGAGUUCGGCAGGGGAGACUGGAAUUCCUGGUGUAGCGGUGAAAUGCGCAGAUAUCAGGAGGAACACCGGUGGUGAAGGCGGGUCUCUGGGACGGUACGGACGCUGAGACGCGAAAGCGUGGGGAGCGAACAGG